UGGUGGUUCGGUGGUAGAAUUCCUGCCUUCCACGCAAGAGACCCAGGUUUGAUUCCUGGUCA
rnacentral:tRNA from 1 species